rnacentral:rRNA from 1 species
GGGGAAUUUUGGACAAUGGGCGAAAGCCUGAUCCAGCAAUGCCGCGUGCAGGAUGAAGGCCUUCGGGUUGUAAACUGCUUUUGUACGGAACGAAAAGGCUCUGGCUAAUACCUGGGGCACAUGACGGUACCGUAAGAAUAAGCACCGGCUAACUACGUGCCAGCAGCCGCGGUAAUACGUAGGGUGCGAGCGUUAAUCGGAAUUACUGGGCGUAAAGCGUGCGCAGGCGGUUUUGUAAGACAGAGGUGAAAUCCCCGGGCUCAACCUGGGAACUGCCUUUGUGACUGCAAAGCUGGAGUGCGGCAGAGGGGGAUGGAAUUCCGCGUGUAGCAGUGAAAUGCGUAGAUAUGCGGAGGAACACCGAUGGCGAAGGCGACUUUCUGGUCUGCAACUGACGCUGAGGCGCGAAAGCAUGGGGAGCAAACA